rnacentral:rRNA from 1 species
UACGAGGGGGCGAGCGUUGUUCGGAAUUAUUGGGCGUAAAGGGUGCGUAGGCGGUUUGGUAAGUCUGAUGUGAAAUCUAUGGGCUCAACUCAUAGUCUGCAUCGGAAACUGCCGGGCUUGAGUGUGGGAGAGGUGAGUGGAAUUCCUGGUGUAGCGGUGAAAUGCGUAGAUAUUGGGAGGAACACCAGUGGCGAAGGCGGCUCACUGGACUGUAACUGACGCUGAGGCAGUGAAAGCGUGGG